AGUACAGUAUAGAGUGCAUGGCACUUGCAAUGCCAGGGUUGUGGGUUCGAUUCCCAC
rnacentral:tRNA from 1 species